rnacentral:ncRNA from 1 species
GAGCAACUUAGGAUUUUAGGCUCCGCUGUGCCAAGGCACGGCGCAAACCGACGCGAGGCUGGCGGUCUUGCGUGCGGUCAAAAUCUAUUCCGCCGGAG